rnacentral:rRNA from 1 species
CCUACGGGUGGCAGCAGUGAGGAAUAUUGGUCAAUGGGCGCAAGCCUGAACCAGCCAAGUCGCGUGAGGGACGACUGCCCUACGGGUUGUAAACCUCUUUUAUAAGGGAAGAAAGAGUGGCACGUGUGCCAUUUUGUAUGUACUUUAUGAAUAAGGAUCGGCUAACUCCGUGCCAGCAGCCGCGGUAAUACGGAGGAUGCGAGCGUUAUCCGGAUUUAUUGGGUUUAAAGGGUGCGUAGGUGGGUUGUUAAGUCAGUUGUGAAAGUUUGCGGCUCAAACGUAAAAUUGCAAUUGAUACUGGCAGACUUGAGUACAGUCGAGGUAGGCGGAAUUAGUGGUGUAGCGGUGAAAUGCUUAGAUAUCACGAAGAACUCCGAUUGCGAAGGCAGCUUACUAAACUGCCACUGACAUUGAUGCUCGAAAGUGUGGGUAGCAAACAGGAUUAGAUACCCUAGUAGUC